UUUCAAUAUCUACCGAUGAAACGUGAUGACCUCUGUACUUGAUGAGGUUUUUGACCCGGUCAACGAUGAAGAUAUAGCCGUCUUCGUCGUAGUAGCCUAUAUCUCCGGUACAGAACCAUCCUGACGAACAUCAGUUCGUUAAAGUGUGCAAGUUCCAAUAUUUGAACACACUGAAGAGGGUCCAAGCAGUGACCGAAAGGUUUGUAGUGUAAGAAAAAUCCUGAAUUUAUAUUGUAUAAUUGAUACAAAAUAUAAUCCACACACAUCUAUCUCUUAACGGCCUUAAUUCCUAUUUUUUAUUUGUGUAAUCAUAAAGCUUUAUUUAAAAAUUGUUUAAUAUUUUUCAAAAAAUCUUAUAGACUAGAUUCAUUUUCGAUAUAGAUCAGAGUCUCCUGAAAUCAAUUAAAGAAGAGAUUCUUUGUAACUAACCACUCUCAUCGAAGACACUCUUGGUUAUUUUGGGUUCUUUGUAAUAGCCGUUCAUCAUGUACGGACAUUGGAUGUAGAUCUCACCGUGUGUGUUGGGGCCCAAUGGUUUCUUGGUCUGUAAAUCGACAAUUUUUAAAUAAAUGUUUUUGCAUACA